rnacentral:rRNA from 1 species
GCGCAGCAGUCGAGAAUACUCCGCAAUGCCCGAAAGGGUGACGGGGGAUCCCAAGUGCCUACGCUUAGCGUAGGCUGUUCAGGUGCCUAAAAAGCACCUGGAGGAAGGGCUGGGUAAGACGGGUGCCAGCCGCCGCGGUAAUACCCGCAGCCCGAGUGGUAGUCGCUUUUAUUGGGCCUAAAGCGUCCGUAGCCGGUCUGGUAAAUGCCUGGGUAAAUCGUGGGGCUUAACCUCACGAAUUCCGGGUAGACUGCCAGACUUGGGACCGGUUGAGGGAGAGGGUACUCCAGGGGUAGGGGUGAAAUCAGCAAGGUAAGCUGAUGUAACUUGCCUUGCAAGUCACAAUCCUGUAAUCCUUGGAGGACCACCGGUGGCGAAAAGCGCUCUCCUAGGACGGGUCCGACGUGAGGGACGAAAGCCAGGGGAGCAAAACCGGAUUAGAUACCCCGGUAGU